rnacentral:rRNA from 1 species
UUGACUCUGGCCUGAAAUCA